CUAGUAGUGGAUCAUGUGGUUUAAUUCGAAGCAACGCGAAGAACCUUACCUAAGCUUGACAUCCCAUUGACCUCUCCCUAAUCGGAGAUUUCCCUUCGGGGACAGUGGUGACAGGUGGUGCAUGGUUGUCGUCAGCUCGUGUCGUGAGAUGUUGGGUUAAGUCCCGCAACGAGCGCAACCCUUGCCUUUAGUUGCCAGCAUUAAGUUGGGCACUCUAGAGGGACUGCCAAGGAUAACUCGGAGGAAGGUGGGGAUGACGUCAAAUCAUCAUGCCCCUUAUGCUUAGGGCUACACACGUGCUACAAUGGGUGGUACAGAGGGUUGCCAAACCGUGAGGUGGAGCUAAUCCCUUAAAGCCAUUCUCAGUUCGGAUUGUAGGCUGAAACUCGCCUACAUGAAGCUGGAGUUACUAGUAAUCGCAGAUCAGAAUGCUGCGGUGAAUGCGUUCCCGGGUCUUGUACACACC
rnacentral:rRNA from 1 species